rnacentral:lncRNA from 1 species
GGGAGAAAGAGCGGCAGGGAGUGAGUAGGAUUUAAGGGGAAAGCCUGGGUCUCCUGUCAGGGAAUUUGCUUUCCAAAUUGGGUCUGCCUUGGAGGGAAAGAUGAAGAAGAAGUGAAGGCCCCAGACUUGGAACUUUUCAGCACUGUGAUGUAAAAACUUGACUCUGCAGCCAGAUAGGUCUCAGCCCGCCUUGAAGAUGUUGGCACCAGCCUCUACUUUGUAAAUGACUCCUUGCAGCAGCUUUAUCCACGACAAUGACUACUUCUGCACUGCGGAGAAUGCUGCCGGCAAGAUCCGGAGCCCCAACAUCCGCGUCAAAGCAGUUUUCAGGGAACCCUACACCGUGCGGGUGGAGGAUCAAAGGUCAAUGCGUGGAAACGUGGCCGUCUUCAAGUGCCUCAUCCCCUCUUCAGUGCAGGAAUACGUCAGCGUUGUGUCUUGGGAGAAAGACACAGUCUCCAUCACCCCAGUUCCCAGGUGGCACACAGAGAUGGAAAAUUGGUUUGCCACAACUGGAAGGAGCCUUGGAUACCAUGGAGCCCCAUCCUCAGAAUAUUUGCUACAGAUGCCAUUUGUGGCCAUGCUUGGACUUGAGAAGACCCAGGUCUCAAGAAGCAUCCUACUACAGGAAGAGGGAGUCCAUCGUCCAUCUCAUUCUCAACAGAGUAGACUUGGGUGGGGAUCCUCCAAGGUCUGGAUGUAUCGCCAGAGUUUACAAAGAGCACGGAAUGAGUUAGGGUGCAUAAGAGUGUGUGUGCGUGUGUGUUUAUCAUGCACAAAACAGUUUACCAUACAACUCAUUUGUCACAUGUGUAGCCAUAUGUGUUCCUGAAAAGUGACAUAUCAAAAUUCACCUUAAAUGGAGAAGUAUUCUUUUUAAGAAAACCUUGAGGUGACUUUGGCAAACAUGUAGAUAGUUGCACACACACACACACACACACACACACACACACAGAGUUGCUGCAAGUAGAACCUUGUAUGAUCUUUUGGGAGAGCAAUUGGGCAGUACAUAUCUGAAGCCUGAAAUUAUCCACAUUCUUAGGGUUCUAUCCUUCAGAAACAACCAAAGAUGGCAUAAAGUUUUCUGUUGACUGCUAUGCUAUUUAUAAAAGUGAAAAAUAAAAAAUCCUGAAUGAUUGAAUAACAUGACACAAUAAUACAAUUAAAUAUUUACAAUAUAUUUUAACUAUUUG